CAACUUUCAACAAUGGAUCUCUUGGUUCUCGCAUCGAUGAAGAACGCAGCGAAUUGCGAUAUGUAAUGUGAAUUGCAGAAUUCAGUGAAUCAUCGAAUCUUUGAACGCAUAUGGCACCCUCUCUUGAAAUAGGAGGGUAUGCCUGUUUGAGUGUCAUUA
rnacentral:rRNA from 2 species